UACAGAGGUGGCAAGCGUUGUCCGGAUUUAUUGGGCGUAAAGAGCGUGUAGGCGGCCAGGUAGGUCUGCUGUGAAAACUCGAGGCUCAACCUCGAGACGUCGGCGGAAACCAUCUGGCUAGAGUCCGGAAGAGGAGAGUGGAAUUCCUGGUGUAGCGGUGAAAUGCGCAGAUAUCAGGAAGAACACCCGUGGCGAAGGCGGCUCUCUGGGACGGUACUGACGCUGAGGCGCGAAAGCCAGGGAGCAAACGGG
rnacentral:rRNA from 1 species